rnacentral:lncRNA from 1 species
CCGACUGCGGCGGGGGAGGGGUGCGGGGAGCCGCGGCCCCGCUCGCCCUCCGUCCUCCCUCCCUCGCCGUCCAGCCCUCCCCGAGUCACCUCGUGACCCGCCCUGCGACACCCCGCCCGCGACACACCUCGACACCCCGCCAGGACACCGCGGCGGGCGAGCGGCGCCGCAGGGGAGGGGAGGGGAGGGGAGGGGAGGGGAGGGGAGGAUCCGGGAGCAGGGAGGGGCGGGGGCGGCGGGCAAGCUGGUUGGAGGAGACGAGAUGGUUUGACCGAGAGGCUCAGCUUCGGCUUCUUGGGGGGCGGGGGAGGCGAGGCGCGGACUGGCGGCGGGUGGGGGGUCAGGUCCGCGGACAGGAAGCCCUGCGGAGGGAUGAGGGGGGCGCAGCGGGCCGGGGCUGCAGAGCCCUGGCUAACCGGGGGCCCGGCCUGGUCCCGGGGGCUGCAGGAGCCCUGGCUAACGGGGGGCCCGGCCUGGUCUCGGGGCUGCAGAGCCCUGGCUAAUGGGGGGCCCGGCCUGGUCUCGGGGCUGCAGAGCCUGGCUAACGGGGGGCCCGGCCUGGUCUCAGGGCUGCAGAGCCCUGGCUAACGGGGGGCCCGGCCUGGUCUCGGGGCUGCAGAGCCUGGCUAACGGGGGACCCGGCCUGGUCCCGGGCUGCAGAGCCCUGGCUAAGUGGGGGGCCUGGCCUGGUCUCGGGGCUGCAGGAGCCCUGGCUAAGUGGGGGGCCCGGCCUGGUCUCAGGGCUGCAGAGCCUGGCUAACGGGGGGCCCGGCCUGGUCUCCGGGCUGCAGAGCCCUGGCUAAGUGGGGGGCCCGGCCUGGUCUCAGGGUCGCAGGAGCUGUCCGCCCCGGGGGUGCUGAGCAGGCCCGCCCCGGGCGCCUCCUGAAACGCGAGCUGCAGGAGCUGUCCCUCCCACGGGGUGCUGAUCGGUGCUGGACAGAGGCAUCUGACCAAGGGUCGCUGAUCCCGCUGGAUUCCAACGUGAUGGAACUUUUGGUGCACAGUACACUGUGCAGAGGUACUGACGGACCUGGGGUGAUGACCCUGAGGCCAUGCUCAUUCCAUUGGAGAAAUUGUUUCUUGAGAACCGACUGUGUGAUUGGCAUCGUUCAGGGGGCCGACCUGUUCUGGCUUUCUGGCUUGACAUGGAACCGUGUGGGGAGAGCGAUGGUUGAAAUCGAGCUCGCGCAGUUACAUCAGUAUUUUUCAGAACUCCUGGGUGGCUCAGCAGUUGGGCAUCUGCCUUUGGCUCAGGGCGUGACCCUGGGGUCCUGGGAUCGAGUCCCACAGCGGGCUCCCUGCAAGGGGUCUGCUUUUCCCUCUGCCUUUGUUUCUGCCUCUCUCUGUGUGUCUCUCAUGAAUUUUUAA